CAUCCAAGUAAUAACCACGCUUAAUGCUGCUUACCUGGGUGAUCGCCCAAAUCAAACGUGUGCCGCUCGGCUAACUCUGCCACUUACAUAAAAGUAAAAUUCCAAAUAUAAACCUGCAGGGAAAAAACAAAAUGAAAACAAUAUACGUAAUGAUGAAGUAUCAGAAACACUUGAAGUAGACGUAUGAACUCGGUCAAGUCGUCAAUAUAUUUGGAGUUCAUUAAGAAAUUAAUCUAUAUUAUUUAAAAUGGGAACCUAUCAAAAUAGACACAUGGAGUAAACGUAUCAGUUUCAUUAGUGCAUUUACGGUUGGUUAACAAAAUCACCGGUAGUAUUUAAAAAAAGUGCCAUUCGACAGCCGAAAUGGAAGUAGAUUUCAUUAUAAAUAAAAAUGAGUGCAACAGCAAAUUUCAUAUUUAGCAUAGCGGAAUAGGACUUACUUUUAAGACUACACAUAUGAUAUGGUACUCAAAUUGAAGCUUAUU